rnacentral:misc_RNA from 1 species
AGAGAGAGAGAGAGAGAGGGGCAAGCUAAGUUUGAUCUUCAAUGUUUCAGGGACCAUCCUAGAAUUCCUGUGGCUAGAAAGCACUGGCAAUGAUUUCUAGUGCAUACGUAUGCAUGUAGGCUCAGCCAGAGGCUAGUUUGGAAUUGUAGUCGGUUAACCUGUAUUUAACUUGAAUUGUGAAUGAACCGAACUAGAAUUAAGCUGAAAUCGUCUAAUUCGAUUUUAGGCCAAACUGGAUUUUUUCAUUUAAAAA